GUGGAGCGGGCGGAGUCGGCGGCGCCGCGCUAGGGCCUGAGGCGGCCGGCGGCCGCAGGGUGUUCCCCGCCUCUGCGCCGGCCUCUGAGCGCGGAGGGCGACCGACAGGGCGCCCUGAAGCCAGCGAAAUUACCACAGCGCCGUACUACCAGUGGGUCUGAGGUACUUCAGUCGCACGUAGCGUACCCAGGCUGGACACGGGGGUGUGUGAGGUGAGGUGACAUCGGGUAGAGAGUGCUGAGGUGAUGUGGUGUCGUGGCGGACAGCGAGCGCCUUCCGUGAAGAAGAGCGUGUUUCUUGGGAAUAGCAUCCUAGAAAACCCACUCCCCUCACAAACCUCCCUGAGCCGUGUCACGUUCACACCCAGCUUGUUAUGCCAUAGCCCCAAGGAGACUGGUCUCAGUGCCUCCCUUUAAUGGACAGCUGGGCUCCCUCACAGCCUCCCCCAGCCCCGUGCUGUCCCUCAGCUCCUGACUCACAGCUCCACAAACGGAGGCCCACAGUCUGCAGGGGCUGGAUAUAACCUGGAGAACCUUGUUCUCUGCUUUCCAGCCGUGUGCCAAAUGCUUUUAUCUGAGGGCUCAAUGUAGCCUUUCUCUACAUCCCUCUUGUAUCCCAGUAGCUGCCAACACACAUUGCUCUGAGCGUGUACCUGGGCCUGCUGCAGCCCCAUUGGGAGUGAUGGGCAGAGAGCUCGGCCGGCACGACCGCCUUUGUCAAGAUGGCCGUGUCAGGGGUGGCUCCUAGGCAUGGCACUCGCUGCUGUGAAGGAGAAUUGGAUCCAGCUGCCCAGCUGUCUUCAGGAGAGCUGCCGAAGCAGAUUCAGUAGCUGAGAACUUUGCUCUGCCCGCCAAGAAAGGUGGUGCGGCCGCCAGCUGCGGUUGCUCAGAGCCUCUCGGACAUCAGAGCGGUGCCGGCGUGGCCGCUGCCAGACAGGGGUGUUGCAGUUAUCCUCUGGAGGAGCUGCUCACCAUUGCCACGAACAAAGGAGCUUUGUUCAGAUCCGUUCGACGUAACCUAUGAGGUAAAGUGGAAAACCUGUGAAUAAAAAAUGGGAAGCGUGCAGGCUGAGGCAACUCAAUUUACCAAUCCGUAAACCUACACCCACCAAAUAGAUGGUAUUUUUAUAUACAGUGGUGGUGAUCGUAGUACCACAGAAUUGCAAGGGUUGGAAGGGAUCUCAAGAGAUCAUCAAGUCCUGCUGCCGGUUGCUACCACUGACUCCAAAUCGGAAUCACAGAAUCAUAGAAUAACCCAAGCUGGAAGGCACCCUUAAGGAUCACUGAGCCCCAUCUCUUGCUGCUCAUCAUAUAAGCCUGUCAGUUGCUGCAGUGCGUUGGGCGAGUCUUAGUAGACACUCAGGAACUGGAUACCUCUUAGAGCUACAUGGCAGUUUGAUUAGUUUUACUGCCUGAAUAAAGCUUCUUGGUGGAGCUGUUGACUAGAUAAUUAAACUUGCAUGUACUCAGAGAGAAAAUGUUCUGAUAUAGUUAAGCAAAUACUGCUUUUUGGCACUAUAAUUAGCAGACACUACUAAAAUGUGAGUUGUGAGUACUUUGCUGCUUUGGAAACUGAACAUAUUAUAUGGCUCAGGGUGGCUAUUCUUCCUCACCACAUGGGCUUCGCACUGAUGUAUUCCUCGUCACCAAGACCUUCAAGAUAGAUACCAAAGCUAAGAGGAGGCUGUUAAGAUUUAUUGGCUCUGAGCAGCCCCCCAGCACUCCAUUUCAGCCCCCUCUGGGGACAUCAGUCCAUACGCCAGCAAUGCUUCAUCAGGGCUGGUCUCCAGUUCCACUACAGCCCUGCCCAGCCACAGAUCUGAAUGCAGGCUGCUGUCCUGUAUGGGCUGAAGUAGGGAAAGGUGAAGGGGUGGAGGGAAGGCUAAGUUGUGGCCAACAAAGUCUGUGAGUGCCUUCACUGCCCCAACAAUGUACGUUUGGUCACUUAAGAGUCACAGGGAGGAAAGAUUUUUCAUAACAACUCAGAGAUGAAGGAUUGCAACAUCUCUUUGGGUGUCCCACUACUGCAUGGAGCUGAGUGCUGCUUUUUUCUAGGAUGACCUAUUGGCUUCAGCAGAACAAGCUGAACCAGAUGUGGGGGAAAUGUGGGAGAUGUGGGUGCCUCGUGCUGCUCCCCACGGGAGAGCUGGGCAGCUGGUGAGGUGGUAUGAUCUAAAACCCACUGUCAAAAACAAUCUAUAUAAUCAUACAACUUCUAAUCACACUGUUAAUCAAUCCUCAAAAUUCAUCUAACCCAUUUGUCAGUCUCGUGUCUCGUUGGCACAUCACAAAAUGGGACAACUUGAGUUGCAAGACCUCUGGGACAAUGUAGGACUACUGACAAUGCAGAGCAGGAGGGACUUUUCUCUACAGAAUUUUCUGCUUUUCAUGUGCUCUCUAACUCUCAGCAGAUUUUAACUUCUAGGGCUUGCUUUCCAUCGUCUGUUAGAGGGAGGCUGUUAAUGUUUGAAGUACUUUCUAUCACUGAUGUCAAAAUUUGUCUUGAUAGGAUAAGUUAUGUUCUUACCUGAUAGGAUAAGUUAUGUUCUUACCUCAUGGUGACUAGGGCUUAGUAAUGACCAUGAAGUCAUUAUCAUCCUGGUGAAGACUCAAGCUUUGUCAAAUGCCAUCGUCAAGGAUGAGAUAACACGCGCUGAAGAAGAGAUGUGCGGAAUACCGCAGUAGAGGCAGUGAGAAGGAAGUGUGUCUGGAAGGGAGAUAACUGCAGAAGAGCUCUACGGCAGGGACAAUAACAUCACUGGAUUUGGGAAACUCUGCAGGGAUAAUGAAAACCUUCUUUAAACACAGUGGUCACAGGGUAUGGGUUACCACAUUCCUCACCCUCUGCAGCAGGAGAGGUUUGGUUCUGCUUCAUGGCAAAGGGGAAGCCUGUCUGUCUUUGGAGCUCUUGGACUCAACCAGCCAGCAUGGGAAGAUCCACAGCUCGCUCCCACCAAUGGGUACUGCUCCCCUUGACCUAAAACUGGCACUUGGUUACAAGGGGACCUGAAUGGAUGGAGGAGCGUGGGUGGAGGUUAACAUUUUCCCCUUGCAUGCCCCAUCAUGAAAAAAGAUCCGCUAUCUAGAAAGCAGACAGCUUUGCACUGAGGACUGUAAUAAAAUUGAGACAAUCUGCCA